rnacentral:pre_miRNA from 1 species
UGAUUAUAGUUAACGGCCCGAGCGAUUGAUUUCUCUGAUUCUUGGGCCCUAAACUACAAUUGUG